AUUGAACGCUGGCGGCAGGCUUAACACAUGCAAGUCGAGCGGAGUGAUGGUGCUUGCACUAUCACUUAGCGGCGGACGGGUGAGUAAUGCUUAGGAAUCUGCCUAUUAGUGGGGGACAACAUCUCGAAAGGGAUGCUAGUACCGCAUACGUCCUACGGGAGAAAGCAGGGGAUCACUUGUGACCUUGCGCUAAUAGAUGAGCCUAAGUCGGAUUAGCUAGUUGGUGGGGUAAAGGCCUACCAAGGCGACAAUCUGUAGCGGGUCUGAGAGGAUGAUCCGCCACACUGGGACUGAGACACGGCCCAGACUCCUACGGGAGGCAGCAGUGGGGAAUAUUGGACAAUGGGGGGAACCCUGAUCCAGCCAUGCCGCGUGUGUGAAGAAGGCCUUAUGGUUGUAAAGCACUUUGGGCGAGGAGGAGGCUCUUUUGGUUAAUACCCAAGAUGAGUGGACGUUACUCGCAGAAUAAGCACCGGCUAACUCUGUGCCAGCCGCCGCCGUAA
rnacentral:rRNA from 1 species